GUCGAAGUCUAUCCCGAUGGGGCUUUUCUGUAAACCUACAUAGUUGGAAAUGCCUCGUAGAGUAACCAUGUGGUUUCCUUUCCACACAGAACUACCUGUUUUAUCUGUGGGAAAGAACUGUAAGACAGAG